rnacentral:rRNA from 1 species
GAACGCUGGCGGCGUGCCUAAUACAUGCAAGUCGAGCGAACGGACGAGAAGCUUGCUUCUCUGAUGUUAGCGGCGGACGGGUGAGUAACACGUGGAUAACCUACCUAUAAGACUGGGAUAACUUCGGGAAACCGGAGCUAAUACCGGAUAAUAUUUUGAACCGCAUGGUUCACAAGUGAAAGACGGUCUUGCUGUCACUUAUAGAUGGAUCCGCGCUGCAUUAGCUAGUUGGUAAGGUAACGGCUUACCAAGGCAACGAUGCAUAGCCGACCUGAGAGGGUGAUCGGCCACACUGGAACUGAGACACGGUCCAGACUCCUACGGGAGGCAGCAGUAGGGAAUCUUCCGCAAUGGGCGAAAGCCUGACGGAGCAACGCCGCGUGAGUGAUGAAGGUCUUCGGAUCGUAAAACUCUGUUAUUAGGGAAGAACAUAUGUGUAAGUAACUGUGCACAUCUUGACGGUACCUAAUCAGAAAGCCACGGCUAACUACGUG